UGCCGGUGAGAUCAGUCGGUGAGAUCGUGGUGCUGAUAACGUCAAAGUCAUAGGUUUGAGCCCUGUAUGGGGAU